GGGAGUAAUUUCACUGGCAAAUAUUACUCAUUAAAUGUUUUCUUUUUUCAUUUUCCUUCGUCAAGACCUCGGGUUAUCUACAGAGAAGAAUAGACAACCAUAUGACAGUUUUGCAGUAUAAAAAAGAAAGCUGCAAAGGACCAAAGAUAUAAAUAAUUUCUCCCAUUAUUUCCCUUUCUCAGUUGCCUCAGAAACCAAGACAAAUUUCAGGUCUAUUAAAAUCUUGCUUGCUUCUGGACAGUAAAUGAGAAGGACAGAUACACAAAUACUACCGUUACAAUUGCCUACAGUAAUCAGAGCAAUAGUAUGUUGCACAGAUGUGUAGCAUAGUGGCAACAAGCUAUAACAUGGAGCCUAGAUGUGUACUGGCUAUCCCAUCCAGCAUUUCAUAAAUAAAGAAACUGAAACAUAAGGGCAGUUCAUAUAAUGCACAAUAAAUUAAAGUUAAAGCUGGUAGCAAAAAUGAUAAAGAUGAAAACAACCCACAAUUUAUUUCAUUUCACAGACAACUCAUACCUAAAAUGUUACAACUUUGGCCUAGGUUAGCAAUACAUCCUGCAGCCAUCAAAUAGGGAACAGACUGACUUGCAGAGUGGGUGACUUCGUGACCUUGGCCUCAUAAACAUUGCUGUGCACACAUCAAGUCAGACAAGCUGGCACUGGAAAAGUAAGAGAGAAGAAAAUAUAAAUGAAAACAGAAUCUAUGCUCUGCUGAUCUGUCCUUCAAAGACAAUAUGUGGAUGCAGCCAUAGCAAGAGGAGAAGCAGGCUCUCAGCCUGAAUGCUGCUGGGUGUGGGAAGUGAUCUCCCUUUUUUAACCUGCAAUAUCUCCC
rnacentral:lncRNA from 1 species